CUUCUUAGCAAUGAGUAAAGAGACACUAUUUUGGUGGUGUUGUUCUUAUAUCAGUCAUAGACAGAGCAGAUGAUAUUCCUUUGUUCAUUGUAGCUUGAUGCCUGGCUAAGAACACAAAGCUGUCUUAUGCCUAGGAUUCAUAA